rnacentral:rRNA from 1 species
AACGAACGCUGGCGGCAUGCCUAACACAUGCAAGUCGAACGAGACCUUCGGGUCUAGUGGCGCACGGGUGCGUAACGUGUGGGAACCUGCCCUUAGGUUCGGAAUAACUCCCCGAAAGGGGUGCUAAUACCGGAUAAUGUCUUCGGACCAAAGAUUUAUCGCCUUUGGAUGGGCCCGCGUUGGAUUAGCUAGUUGAUAGGGUAAAAGCCUACCAAGGCGACGAUCCAUAGCUGGUCUGAGAGGAUGAUCAGCCACACUGGGACUGAGACACGGCCCAGACUCCUACGGGAGGCAGCAGUGGGGAAUAUUGGACAAUGGGCGAAAGCCUGAUCCAGCAAUGCCGCGUGAGUGAUGAAGGCCUUAGGGUUGUAAAGCUCUUUUACCCGGGAUGAUAAUGACAGUACCGGGAGAAUAAGCUCCGGCUAACUCCGUG